GACGAACGCUGGCGGCGUGCUUAACACAUGCAAGUCGAACGAAGAGCGACGGAAGCUUGCUUCUAUCAAUCUUAGUGGCGAACGGGUGAGUAACGCGUAAUCAACCUGCCCUUCAGAGGGGGACAACAGUUGGAAACGACUGCUAAUACCGCAUACGAUCUAACCUCGGCAUCGAGGAUAGAUGAAAGGUGGCCUCUACAUGUAAGCUAUCACUGAAGGAGGGGAUUGCGUCUGAUUAGCUAGUUGGGGGGGUAACGGCCCACCAAGGCGAUGAUCAGUAGGCGGUCUGAGAGGAGGAACGGCCACAUUGGGACUGGGAAACGGCCCAGACUCCUACGGGAGGCAGCAGUGGGGAAUCUUCCGCAAUGGACGGAAGGCUGACGGAGCAACGCCGCGUGGGUGAUGACGGCCUUCGGGUUGUAAAGCUCUGUUAAUCGGGACGAAAGGAAUUCUUGCGAAUAGUGGGAAGGAUUGACGGUACCGGAAUAGAAAGCCACGGCUAACUACGUG
rnacentral:rRNA from 1 species